ACUGCAAUCCAUAGAAUGAGGGUGUGAGUGAGAGGAAGUGAGAGAGAGAGAGAGAGAGAGAGAGAGAGAGAGAGAGAGAGAGAGAAGGAAAGUGAGAUCAUUGAUGUACGACCAAUGAGAAAUUAACAGCGAGAGCAGAAAACGGAAAUUGUGAAUCUGAUAAUACUAACGAAAUGCAUACGGAUAGUGCGAUAGUAGUAUGCUCUCUUCGAUCCAACAAGUGGAGAAUUUUUGUCUUAUACUUAAUAUCAUUGAACAUCACAUAUGAAGAAGCAAUGCUAAUGCUUGAUAUAUUAUUUCUAAGAAAUAGUUCAAAACGUUUUUUGAAAAAUUACCAGUUUAUCAUGCCCCACGAAGAAAUACGCUAAUACAUUAAUAAGAACGGUACGAGUAACAAAAUAUAUACAUAUAUAUGGUACAAUAUAUAUAAUACGCCUCCUUAUGUACGAACAAGAUGUAGAUUCUUUUAUAAUUUUCUCGUACCUAUAUAUAAUAAUUAAAUUGCCCGGAAAAAUACAAAAACCGCGAGUAGCGACACCUACAACUAAUAUAAAUACAUAGGGUAUAGCUAUCAGGAUGAAGUCACUUGUGCCUAGGCACUCGAGUCAAGUGUCUUAAAUUAUUAGUCAUUGUACGGUAAAUUACAUUACAACGAUCUCUUAUUUUUUUUUAAGAGAAGUCUAAUAAAUUAUCAGAAGUGGAAUAUCACACGGGAAGAUAAACGCGCGUUUGAAAAUGAUACACAUUUUAUUAAAAUCAUUAUAUUACGUACAGAUUACAAGAAUAAAGUUAGAACGGUAUAAUUAUUUUUCUGAUAGUUAGAAUACCGCACAAUUAAUUGUAUGAUGUAUGGUUAAUCGAAUAUCUCAUCGAUAUUUGUAAAGUGCUCGUGGUUAAAUAUUUAUAAAUAAGAGUAGUAAUGAAUCUGGUGAAGGAACUUCUUACCAACUCGAACAAAGCAAAUAGAAUCUACGAACCAACAACAAACGUCAAUAAUAUUACAGGACAAAAAUUGUUAAUACGAAAUUUGCGUAUAUGAGAAAACAACGACCAAGCCAUAGAUAUAACACAUAAUCGAUUCACAGUCAAAAGAGUAUGGACAAAAGGAAACAACAAUUCAGAGAACAAAAAAUAUACUCGGAAUCAAGCGAAGAUAAAUAAACGGUAAUAAGCAUGAUUGACUAAUUAUUUAUCUUCUUAUUUGCAAAAAGGUACAGUAAGUGCAAGAAACCGUCUAAUCAUUACUCCGGUAAUUAAAAUACCGCACAAUUUAAUUAUGUGGUUUAAUAAAAAUCUGAUAGUUACAAAAAGCGACUUUCAAAAUGUUUCGGUUAAGUGAAUAUAAAUACGAGGGCUAAAGAAAGUGGUGAAAGAUCAUUUAAAUAAUAGUCGGACAUAUCAAGGAGAAAAAAGUAAGCAAAUCAAAUCUACAAAAAAAAAUGUCAAUAACAUUAGAGGACAAAGAUACUCAAGACGAUAUAAUGUUAAUAAAAAACGUUCCGACAAAGACACAGAAUUACGACCUAAACAACAAUAUUGAGUGCAAAAAAGUAUUGUUGAAAUCGAACUGAAGUGAAUACUAAAGGUAAGAACAAUAAUUAAUAUAUUUAACAAAGAUGUACACUUUUAUUCGCAGGCAGGAAUAGUAACCGAAAGAAAUUAUGGAGAUAUAAGUGAAAUAUUAUCUCCAAAAUAUGAUAAGAAAAAUGCGACGGGAAAAGUAAAUUGAGAUCCCAUUAUAUUGGAAAACUCGAAUAUUUGGAAAUUUCACAGAAUUUUCUGGAGAACUAUCUAUAUCGAUAGAUCUGAGAUGAAUAUAUUAUUCGUGGAUCCAAAAUCUGUACAUUAUCAACCCUAUUGAGUAUUCCAUUAGGAAUAGCAAUAAUAAUAGUCAGGAAAUAAAUGACGAAUAGCAAUUGAUGGAAGCCGACAUCAUCGAAGAGGAUGAUUUUCAAUUCUCCAGUCCGGUAAAAUCGGUCAAAAAAAAAAUAGGAAUGUGCAUGGACUAUCAACCACAUGUAUUAUAUAUCGGUAAAUGGUAAAAUACUCAAGCAACAGUAUCCUAUAGCUCAAGUAUAGUAUACUAAUU